AGUGAACGCUGCCGGUAGGCCUAACACAUGCAAGUCGAACGGCAGCACAGUAAGAGCUUGCUCUUACGGGUGGCGCGUGGCGGACGGGUGAGGUAUACAUCGGAAUCUACUUUUUUGUGGGGGAUAACGUAGGGAAACUUACGCUACUCCCGCAUACGACCUACGGGUGAAAGCAGGGGAUCUUCGGACCUUGCGCGAUUGAAUGAGCCGAUGUCGGAUUAGCUAGUUGGCGGGCUAAAGGCCCACCAAGGCGACGAUCCGUAGCUGGUCUGAGAGGAUGAUCGGCCGCACGGGAACUGAGACACGGUCCAGGCUCCUACGGGAGGCAGCAGGGGGGAAUAUUGGGCAAGUGGGGCAAGCCUGAUCCAGCCAUACCGCGUGAAUGAAGAAGGGCUUCGGGUUGUAGAGGCCUUUUUUUGGGAAAGAAAAGCAGCAGGUUAAUACCCCGCUGUUCUGGCGGUACCCAAAGGAGAAGCACCGGCUAACUUCGUG
rnacentral:rRNA from 1 species